UACGUAGGUGACAAGCGUUAUCCGGAUUUAUUGGGCGUAAAGAGCUUGUAGGCGGUUUGUCGCGUCUGCCGUGAAAAUCCGGGGCUCAACCCCGGACUUGCGGUGGGUACGGGCAGACUAGAGUGUGGUAGGGGAGACUGGAAUUCCUGGUGUAGCGGUGGAAUGCGCAGAUAUCAGGAGGAACACCGAUGGCGAAGGCAGAUCUCUGGGCCGUAACUGACGCUGAGGAGCGAAAGCAUGGGGAGCGAACAGG
rnacentral:rRNA from 1 species